rnacentral:lncRNA from 1 species
GAAUAAAAAAUGUGUUUAGAGUCUUGCCUCUUUCUGUACUAGAGGAAAAGGAGAUCAAUUCCGGGAGAAAACACCCGCAUGGUCAUGGCAACAACCAUUUUCUGAAGCCCAGCUGCGGUCAGCCACAUGGGAGUAUGAGAGCUAGGAGGGCAGCGGGUGCACGAAUCCACCCACACCCAAACCACACAGAGCCAUUACCUACCACAGAGCUGACGUGAACAGGAGUGUGCUUGAGGGUGGCGCUUGACACAAGUAUCAAUGUGCUUUUGUCUUCCAGAAAAAAACUUCAGGCUUUCAUGACCUACAGCUCAGACCCUGCAACACCCUCACCCCAUUUCUACUCCUGCAGGAUUUCUGGAAGCAAAUCCUUAUGUGACUUUGAUAGCACUGAAGAAAUAAAAUCUGAGAUUUUAAACUCGGCUUUGGAUCAUGCCCUAAGGACAGCAACCAUUUUGAAAGAAACUACAGAUCAAAUGAUUAAAACGAUUGCAGAAGACCUUGCUAAAGCACAGAGGUGGAGGAAUCGACUGAAAUACUAGUUCAACGCUAGGCUACCAAGGAUUCAAAAGAAAAAAAUGCAAAGAAAACUUGAUCUUCCCCCAAAAUGUAUUUUACUUACUACACAAUUUAGGAAGAUGACUUUCUAGAGAAAACACAGAAACCAUAAGAAAUGGGUAACACAAAGUACUUAAAGGAAAAAGAAAAAAGAAAGGACUUCUGAUUCUUAAAAUCAAAAGCAACCAACAAGUAUUUAUUUUAAAAUAAAUCUAUGUUCUUCUUAACUCAUAAUAAAAGAAAUCAAAACAAAACAA